rnacentral:lncRNA from 1 species
UCCACUUUUAUCCCUUGAUCGAAGUUUGGUGACCCAUUUUGCUUUAUGUAGUCAACUCCAUUCAAAACUCUGUUAACUUUGAUGAAUGGCAUGGGUAUUUUUGGAAUUCCAUACAUAUGAAUCAUUACUCACCAAUUAAGUGAGUGACAUGGCUAGUCCAUAUAGAACAUAAUUAAAUAUUAUAAUAAUUAAAAUAUAUAAAAAUUACCUUUAAAAAAUUACAACUAAAUAUAAUAUUUAAAAACCCUACCCAGCCGCACCAAUCCCUCCGACUCGGAUCCCACCUGAAAAAUCCUUAUCGCCGCCCAAAAAAUCCUUAAUGAAUGACUCCACAAUCAUCGUCGCUGUCACCACCACACUCACUUGUCGCGGAUUUUGAGGUCAGAGAAGGAGAUGAAGAUGGGGAUUUGGAUGCCGAGGGCUUCGGAGAAGAAGAAGUAGGCUACGAUGACGAGGGUGAAUGAGAGCAGAAGGACGAGGUCGCGAAGGAGGCUGCGAUCUUCAAUAGUGAUGAGCAUGAAGUAUGGGAAAGAGCCCUAGGAGAUGAGGACCAUGCCGUCGAGGUUGGCGGCGAUUGACUCGUAUGACGCUGUUUCGCUCAUGUUGCAGGACGUGAUCGAUGAUAGGGUCUUGAUUUAGUUCGGAAUUUUGUGCAUUUAUUAAUUUCAAAAGAAAUAAACCAAAAUACAGUGUUGGGGUUUUGAGUAGAGGAAAGAUGGGUUUGGGUCUUUCAAUUCCCCAAUUAAUGAAAUCCAUGUUUGUAAUCAUUUUAAUUUUCACUACAACUUACAUAAAAUAUAUAGAAAUGCA